CAGGUCGGACCAAUUUGAUGGAAACCCAAAACAGAAAAUAGAACUGAAAGCAAUGAAACAGAAAUCAGGAUUGUUUAUUGAUGAAUUGGAAAUCGUUACAGAGAAGGAAAAGCCUUUCCUAGACUGACCAGAGCCAAGCUCCUAUAGGAAGCUAUUGCUUCCUACCCAUUACUACACGCUCAAUGAUUCCAGCAUUCCCCCUCUACCUCUCACUACCUUCCUUAUAUUAUGGAAUGGAUUACAAUCCUACCUCCCCUCUCUCUCACCAGCUGUGCUGUUAGUUAGUUACUACUCCCUUUGUCCCUUUUGCCCCUUCUAGAGUAUACCUUCCACUCUUUGGGCUUCGACCCCACAUGGACUAAUGACUCACUUGGGCCAGCUGCUGGAUCAUAGUUCCUAACAAUGCCGCCGUCUGAACUCACAACCUUGUCCCCAAGGUUGAAGUUUGGGUAUAAACUCAUGAUGGUGAGGGCAUCCUCCCAGGUAGCCUCCUCAGCAGUUUUGCCUUGCCAUUUAAUUAGUAGCUGCUGAAUGGUGUCACCCUGCAACUUCACCAUGCGAGUGGCUAAAACAGUGUCGGGUGUGUCCUUGUCAUCACACUCUCCCUCCAAUUGAUCUGGCAAAUCUGCUUCUGCAGAGUAGUCCCCAAUCGCCUUCUUGAGCAAUGACACAUGAAACACAGGAUGAACUCGCGAUCCUUCUGGUAAACGUAACCUGUAAGCCACCGCACCCACACGAGCCACGAUAGGAUAAGGCCCAUAGUAUCGGGCUGCCAGCUUUGCAUGAACCCGGGUUACUACAGAUUGUUGACGAUGUGCGCGAAGCUUCACAAAGACCCAUUCCCCGACAGUAAAUGAUUUUUCAACCCGCUUAGUGUCAGCUUGUGACUUCAUUCGACCCUGGGCUCGCAAGAGUUGUGCCUUCAACUGGCGCAGAACCUCAUCUCGAUCAACCAAUUCACGUUGCACUGCGUCAACCCUGGUCUCCCCGAGUCCCCAGCGUGUGAUUGCUGGGGGUUUGCGUCCAUAAACAACCUCGAACGGGGUCAUAUGUGUGGCUGAGUGGUAAGAUGUAUUGAACCAAUACUCAGCCCAAUGGAUCCAAGUUGCCCACGUUUUAGGUUGAUCAGCCGAAAAACAACGCAAAUACGUUUCCAAACAGCGAUUUACGACUUCCGUUUGUCCAUCCGAUUCGGGGUGGUACGCGGAACUCAUAUUCAACUGUGUGCCCUGCAACCGGAAAAGCUCUUUCCAGAAAUGACUCAUAAAUACUGGGUCCCGGUCGCUCACAAUGGAUGAGGGAACUCCAUGCAAACGUAUGACUUCCUUGGCAAACAAUUCAGCGAUGCUCUUCGCAGUAUAGGGGUGCUUCAGCGGAAUGAAGUGACAGAACUUGGAUAGGCGAUCCACGACCACUAGCACUGCCUCGUAUCCCCUGGAUUUAGGUAGGCCAGUUAUGAAAUCAAUCGAGAGAUCUUCCCACACCUGAUUUGGGAUGGGUAGAGGCUGCAGCAAGCCUGCGGGCGAUGAGGCCAUGUACUUUUGUCUUUGGCAUGUAUCACAGCUACGAACAAACUCUUGCACCGUGUUCUUCAUGCCUACCCAAUAGAUGUUGGCCGCGAGCCGCCGAUAGGUGCGGAGAAAUCCGGAGUGCCCGCCAUGUGGGGUGGUAUGAAAUUCCUUUAACAUCUGUGGAAUUAGAGAGGAAGUGUGUGACAAAACCAGCCUCCCUUUGUACAACAGAAUUCCCUGCUGUAGACUGAAUUCCGGAUGAGUUGAUGGGUCAUUUUGUAACUCCAUGAUCACAUGCUUAAGUUUUGCAUCCUGCUGAAUCUCUGUUGCUAUCAACUGGUGAUCUUCCCAGCGCGGGUACGUGCACACGGUCCUGAUCUCACCAUAUUCCCCAACGCGCGAUAGCGCAUCUGCUCCCUUAUUUAACUUCCCAGGUUUAUAAACGAUAUCAAAGUCAUACCCCAAUAGCUUCGCGGCCCAAUUCUGUUGUUCCCCAGUAAUAAUCUUUUGAUGGAGCAAUUCUUUAAGACUCUUCUGAUCAGUAGACACAAGAAAUUUCCGUCCCAAUAAGUAAGGACGCCAGUGCUGUAUCGCCAAAGCUACUGCCAUAAGCUCUUUCUCAUAGGCGGACUUAGCGAGGUUCCGUGGUCCUAAGGCCUUGCUAUAGUAUGCUAUGGGUUUCUUGUCUUGCAUCAAAAUCGCCCCGAGGCCACACCCUGACGCAUCACACUCAAUUAGGAAUUCCUUCUCAAAAUCUGGAAGUGCCAAAACAGGGGCCGUUGUGAGCUUCCCUUUUAGAGUUUCAAAUGCAUUUUGUGCUGCAGCUCCCCACUGAAAAGCAUCUUUCUUUGUCAAGUCUGUGAGUGGCCUUGCUAUUUUCCCAUAAUCCCGAAUAAAUUUCCUGUAGUAACCGGUUAAUCCAAGAAAACCUCUCACCCCUUUUACAUUCUUGGGCACGGGCCAACUCUUGACACUCGCUACCUUGCUAGGAUCAACCGCCACUCCCUGUGCUGAAAUCAGGUGCCCCAAGUAUUCAACUGAGUCUUGCGCAAAUUGACAUUUCUUCUUGUUUGCUGUCAAGUGUUGCUGUUGGAGGAGUUGUAAGACCUUCUCAAGAUGCAAUAGGUGCGUUUCCCAGUCGCUGCUAUACACUAGAAUAUCAUCAAAAAAUACAAGCACUCCCUUCCGGAGCAUGGGACGAAAAACUGCGUUCAUCAAACUCUGAAACGUCGAUGGUGCGUUCAUGAGACCGAACGGCUUUACGAGGAAUUCGUAGUGCCCUUCAUGGGUACGAAAUGCCGUUUUAUGCACAUCCUCUGCCCUUACGCGAACCUGAUGAUGCCCCGACUUGAGAUCAAGCUUUGAGAAAAAUUUAGCACCAUUCAACUCAUCGAGCAGCUCUUCAAUUACGGGAAUGGGAAACUUGUCAGGGACUGUUACCUUAUUGAGUGCGCGGUAAUCCACGCACAUACGCCAUGACUGGUCCUUCUUCUUGACCAAGAGCACUGGACUGGAGUAAGCGCUUGAGCUAUGUCGUAUGAUGCCGGCUGACAACAUCUCCUGAACCUGCCUUUCAAUUUCAUUUUUAUGGGUAUGGGGAUAACGAUAUGGCCUGACGUUGACUGGUCCCUGCCCUUCCUUUAUGUUGAUACAAUGCUCUUUGCCUCGACUCGGGGGUAGCCCCUCCUGAGCUUCAAACACACUGUCAUACUCUUGCAACAACUUCUGCAAGCUUUCCUGUUGCGCUGCCUCUAGAUGCUGACCUUUGGGAACCUCAUGCCGGUGCUCCAAGAGUCCAAACGCUAGCUUGCUGUCAAGGUCAGACCUUCUCAGGAUGCUCUGCAACGCCCCCAUGGAACUUCCGCCAGCACUAAGACCCUGUAGCCUGACCCACUGUGUGCCGUGCCAGAAACUCAUAGUAUGCUUUCCCCAAUUAGCAAUUGUAUCUCCCAACGUCUUGAGCCAUUCAAUUCCCAGCACAAUAUCAGGGCCUCCCAGAUCAAACAAAUGGGGUGUGCACGAGAACUUGUAAUCCCCAAUCUCCAGGUCAAGCUCCUUACACUUACCUCUGGUGUGAGUCUGGAAACCAUCUCCCAACUUGAUGGACAUCCGUGGAGUGUCUUCCACCGGCUAACAGGAGCGCGGGCACCCCUCCCACUUUUCCUUGUAGCCUCAUGGUUUGUGGCGGCUCACCAUGGUCGACGAGAUUGCACAAACUCAUUAUGCUUAGCUCACCAUCGACCUCGUCUUCCAUCUCGUUCAUCUCUACGGCGAGAAUGUUCCCAUCACCGGCGUCGUCGUCGCCGUCUUCGACGAGCAGCACUCGGAGUUGACGAUCGGGGCACUUGUGCAUUGGGUGGAAAGGGCCUCCACAUUUGAAGCACUGACCCUUUUGCUUCCGCUCCAAUAGUUCAUGAUAAGUGAGAUGGGAGAAACCCCUGUCACGUGGACCGGCCCUCCUAGCUUCUGUUGUUGCCUUGGGGUCUCCUUUUGGGCCACCAAAAACUGGUUUAGUAGUAGUCGCGGGCCCAUUAUCCUGAGUGCCUGUGACCCAGACCCAAUCGGUGCUUCCCGGGCGACCCGGCCCCAUUGGGCCAGUCCGAAAACCCGCUCCACCAAUCCUCGAACUACGGUUAUAACCCGACCCGGCUUCACCCCUUACUUCCUUCUCCACCGCACGAGCGAUCAAGAGCAAUCUUGAGCGGUUCACUCCGCCCAUCGCCACCAAGCUCCUCACCUUUCCCCGUAUCUCUUCUUUCAGACCAUGCAAGAAGUAUCCCUGGUAUUGCUUCUCAGGUAAUUUUGGGAUUUGGGCCGUCAAAUAUUCGAACUCGGUAAUGUACUCCUCCACCGUACCUUUCUGACGCAACUCAGUCAAUUGCUCGUACACGUCACCGUCGCCGUGACCGCCAUAACGCUCCAGAAGAGCUUGACGCAACUUCUCCCACGUCAGGGGAGCUUCUGAUUCGAGCAAAGAGUUGUAAAAAUGGAUGGUGGGUCCAUCCAUGCUGAGCUGAGCGAGGCUCACCUUGACCUCCGGUGAAGUCUCUUGCACACGGAAAUACACCUCCGCUCUACCUUCUUUACUGACUGGCGAAACUCCGCCAACGCAUCGCCGUGUAGAGGUUGCGUUCGUGGUCCUCCUCCGUUCGCUUCAGGUUGCUCAGGAACCUCAGCGCUUGAGCUUUCUCCCUUGUCUCGGUUUGCACUUGCAUCUUCCCUGUGUGACAUUUUUCCUAACGAUCGUUCCAUCAUCGCAAUCAACGAUGCAGGAAGAUCCUUCAUCGCCGUCGUAACAGCUACCAGCGACGUUCGCAUCUCAGCGAGCUCGCCUUCAAGAGCAUCAAGCUUUGCUUCCAUCGAGUUUGUCGUGUGUUUGGAUUUUCUGGGUGGCAUUCACUGGUUCCGGCGAAUCAAUCCGGCAGGUCGGACCAAUUUGAUGGAAACCCAAAACAGAAAAUAGAACUGAAAGCAAUGAAACAGUAAUCAGGAUUGUUUAUUGAUGAAUUGGAAAUCGUUACAGAGAAGGAAAAGCCUUUCCUAGACUGACCAGAGCCAAGCUCCUAUAGGAAGCUAUUGCUUCCUACCCAUUACUACACGCUCAAUGAUUCCAGAAUCCCCUCUCUACCUCUCACUACCUUCCUUAUAUUAUGGAAUGGAUUACAAUCCUACCUCCCCUCUCUCUCACCAGCUCACCAGCUGUGCUGUUAGUUAGUUACUACUCCCUUUGUCCCUUUUGCCCCUUCUAGAGUAUACCUUCCACUCUUUGGGCUUCGACCCCACAUGGACUAAUGACUCACUUGGGC
rnacentral:lncRNA from 1 species